UGGGGAAUAUUGCACAAUGGGCGCAAGCCUGAUGCAGCCAUGCCGCGUGUAUGAAGAAGGCCUUCGGGUUGUAAAGUACUUUCAGCGGGGAGGAAGGGAGUAAAGUUAAUACUUUUGCUCAUUGACGUUACCCGCAGAAGAAGCACCGGCUAACUCCGUGCCAGCAGCCGCGGUAAUACGGAGGGUGCAAGCGGUAAUCGGAAUUACUUGGCGUAAAGCGCACGCAGGCGGUUUGUUAAGUCAGAUGUGAAAUCCCCGGGCUCAACCUGGGAAGUGCAUCUGAUACUGGCAAGCUUGAGUCUCGUAGAGGGGGGUAGAAUUCCAGGUGUAGCGGUGAAAUGCGUAGAGAUCUGGAGGAAUACCGGUGGCGAAGGCGGCCCCCUGGACGAAGACUGACGCUCAGGUGCGAAAGAGUGGGGAGCAAACAGG
rnacentral:rRNA from 1 species